rnacentral:tRNA from 1 species
CGUAGCUCAGUUGGUAGAGCGCUCGAUUGUUAAUCGAAUGGCCGCAGGUUCAAGUCCUGCCGG